rnacentral:rRNA from 1 species
GGGGAGUAUGGUCGCAAGGCUGAAACUUAAAGAAAUUGACGGAAGGGCACCACCAGGGGUGGAGCCUGCGGCUUAAUUUGACCCAACACGGGGAAAC